rnacentral:tRNA from 1 species
UCCCUGGUGGCUCAGACUUAGUAAAGCGUCUGCCUGCAAUGCGGGAGACCCGGGUUCGAUUCCUGGGUCGGGAA